AAUGAACAGGUUGACGUUGGAACCACACGCCGCUUCAAACUCUCGAAUUCGGAUGGGUUUCGACGACAAAAUGGAAAGUAACGAUAAAACCAUGAGGAAAAAUAUGAGCGAGAUUCAUCGAAUGACCAAUCGAGCCUUGGAAUUGCGAGUAGCAACUAACCGGUUGACAACCCGCAUCAUUCUAGCUAACCACCAAAAGUAUCUAGAGGAAAUACAUAGCUUCCGAGUAGCACAACGCUCGGAAAACAAAAUCGGGCACGACUACUUUCAACCCGAGCAACCAACCCAAGAAGAGACAACGAAUAACAA